CUACUGUAGCACACUCCACAUCAGGAUCCCAGGCAGGAGCUAACAAAGGCUUCAUUAUGUCCAAAAUAGUGCUGCCCGGGUCCUGAUGAGAGUGCAUAAACAUGAGCACACCCCGCCCCAUCCUUCGCACUCUGCACCGGCUCCCUGUUCACUUCCACAUCGAAGUCUUCCUUCACACCCAUCACUGUCUGUACCGUGUAGCCCCCACCUGUACCUCGCUGAACUCCUCAACCUUCACAAAUCAGCCAGAACCCGGUCAGAACACUCCAAGGAUUGAAACCUGACUGUAGAAAUCCUCACACAUGACAUCAAAGGGGGGCGGUCGUUUUUACACUUGCUGUCAAAAGAAAAUGACCACAAUCACUGGGUCUCGGGUCACAACCAAUCACGGCUGUGGUACAUUUUGCUGCUUAACUCAUAUUACAC